rnacentral:rRNA from 1 species
AUCCUAGUUCAGGCAAGGGUACCCACUGAGUUUAACCAUAUCAAUAAGCGGAGGAAAAG